rnacentral:lncRNA from 1 species
UUGGACAUAGUCAAGUACUUGUGAAGUCGGUGUGUGAAUCAAGAUGGAAUUAACCCCUCCGAAUAAGUAGAAGUUAAUGUAUCAGUGUGUUUCAAUUUAGUAAAAUCUUGGUCGGGGUAACCAUGUGAUGAAUUUUGAAAAUUGAAAUACAAUGUAGAUGACCAUAUCAGGGUUGGCAAUUAAACCUUAGGUCACCUUGAGCAUUUAAGUCAAAAGAAUAAUUUAUAUGGUAACUAUAUUCAAAUAGAUUCUUGAGUAUUGCUUAGCAUACAUUCAGCCUAUCCAG